AUGACCCUAACAUGGUCAUGGGUCUGGGACUGGUGGAUGACCCUAACAUGGGUCUGGGGACUGGUGGAUGACCGUAACAUGGGUCAUGGGUCUGGGGACUGGUGGAUGACCGUAACAUGGGUCUGGGGACUGGUGGAUGACCGUAACAUGGUCUGGGACUGGUGGUGACCCUAACAUGGGUCAUGGGUCUGGGGACUGGUGGAUGACCGUAACAUGGGUCUGGGGACUGGUGGAUGACCCUAACAUGGGUCAUGGUCUGGGGCUGGUGGAUGACCCUAACAUGGGUCUGGACUGGUGGAUGACCGUAACAUGGGUCAGAUAGAAAGGGCCAUGCAUAGUAGAAAGCCCCUUAUGAGGACUGCUUUCUUUCAAUUGCACUUUAAUGGAUAACGCUCAGACUAAAGGUAUAUUUGAAUAAAGUCAGUGGGUUGUCUGAUCUUCACGUUUUGUUUUACCUAUCGAUGUCGUCCGGCUCUGUAGAAUCUGUUGGAAAGAUUCAUGCAUUAAUUAUUCAAACCUACAAACUUUUAUUUGGCUCUAUACUCCAGCAUUUGGGAUUUGAGAUCAAAUGUUUUAUAUUAGGCGAUGGUACAGCAUGUCACCUUUUAUUUGAGGGUGUUUUCAUAUGUUUCUGUUUUUGUAACGGUUCUCGUCCUCCUUUUCUGAGGAGGAGUAGCGAGAAGGAUCGGAGGACCAAUGUGCAGCGGUGUAAGUGUCCAUAAUAUUUUUUUAUAAAGACAAUAGAACACUCGAACAGAACAACAAACGAUGACGUGAAUAUACAAAACCGAAAACAGUACCGUGUGGACCAAACACUCACACGGAAUACAAACACCCACAACCCAAAAGUGAAACCCAGGCUACCUAAGUAUGAUUCCCAAUCAGGGACAACGACUGACAGCUGCCUCUGAUUGAGAACCAUGCUAGGCCGAACACAGAAAUCCCAAAUUAUAGAAAAAUGAACAUGGACAACCCACCCAACUCAGCCAUGACCAUACUAAAACAAAGACAUAUCAAAGGAACUAAGGUCAGAACGUGACAGUUUUACUGUUUAGAAAUGAAUGCACUUUAUGUAUCUAGUCCCCCUAUUAGAAGGUGUCAUAAGUAUUUGGACAAAUUCACUUUAGUGUAUUACGUUUAGUCAAAAGUUGAGUAUUUGGUCCCAUAAUUCCAGCACGCAAUGACUACAUCAUGCAUGUGACUCUACAAACUUGUUGGAUGCGUUUGCAGUUUGUUUUUGUUGUGUUUCAGAUUAUUUUGUGCCGAAUAUAAAUUAAUGGUAAAUAUUGUAUUGUUUAAUUCUGGAGUCACUUUUAUUAUAAAUAAGAAUAGAAUGUGUUUUCUUCUAUAUUAAAGUGGCUACCAUGAUUACAGAUAAUCCUGAAUCAAUYGUGAUUAAUGAUGAGUAAGAAAGUUACAGAUGCACAAAGAUCAUGCCCCCAAGACAUGCUAACCUCUCGYCAUUACCAAUAACAGGGGAGCAUAGGAUUUUCUUAGGAAUAUGAUAUUUAUAUAUCUGUAACUUUCUCACUCAAUAYUAUUCACGAUUCAUUCAUAAUUAUCUGUAUGAAGAAAUCCCAAACUUUUCUCACAGAAUAUAAAAGUUUUAGUAGGACUUGUAUAUGUUACUGUUCUAUUGUGUAACUAUAAUGUUAUAUUUUUCAAUUAAUUUACUGUUUUUUUAUUUUAUAAUUAUAAUUAACGAAAGAGAUUAUGUUUCCCUUUUUACAACAAUUGUGUCACAAUAUCCUGUAAAUUGACCCACUCUGGGGAAGCCCGAUGUUGUUUUUACCCUUUCUUUUGACUGGUUUUAACGUGUCUGACAGCAGCAUGAGACAGGGUUUCCCACUCUGUCCCAGGCAUCCCAGGCUUGAGUUAAUUUCUUUGUUGCAACAGGCUGUUUAGGCCCUUGGCAGGCCUGAUGACACACACAGCCAUGGUUAAUCGAUAUCCAUCUGAAUACUCCACUAUUUAUUUUACUAAGAGAGGACUGUAGUGGGCAUUGUCAACCAGGUCACACUGUGGGAGAAGGCAAGAUAAGAGAAAACAGAAAAGAAGGAGAUGGAGAGAGAGGGUGGGGAGAGAUAUAGAGAAAGAGAGAUGUUUUUAGGGUUGCAUGGUUUGUGAUGCACUAAUCCUUUGUUUUCAAUGCUAAACAUUGACAUACAAGUCAAUACAUGUCUUUUAAAUACAAUGGGCUAUUUCUGACCAGAUUAUGUAAUGUAAAUGAGUUGUAAAAAAAUAUCCUGAAACUGUCAAGUUUGGACACACCUACUCAUUCAAAGGUUUUUCUAAAUGUGUUAUAAUUGUCUACAUUGUAGAAUAAUAGUGAAUAGACCAAAACUAUGAAAUAGCACAUAUGGAAUCAUGUAGUAACCAAAAAAGUGUUAAUAAACUAAUCAAAAUGUCAUAGUUUUGAAGUCUUCACUAUUAUUAUUAUACAAUGUAGAAAAUAGUAAAAAUAUAGAAAAACCCUUGAUUGAGUAGGUGUGUACAAACUUUGUACUGGUACUGUAUAUAUAUGUGAUACAGAACAAAUUUGACAUGGAAUGGUACAGAAGAACUGACAUGGAAUAUUCAUGACAGAACUUGACCCUAUUUGUAUUUUGGUUAAGCUGAAUGUCUGGUUUCCAAUUUCUUUAGCACAAACACAAUUUUAACCACUUUUCCUCCUUCCUGUUUUCAAUUAUGACCAUACAUGUUUUGGUUUUGUUUCACUGUGUGAUAUUUCACCACUUGUUUUCUAUGAGAUAUGGAGGACAGAGAAAUCAUGUGGCAGUAGCAGCAACACACAACUCAAGAUAUGACCUGCUUCCUGUUUCUCUUCCUGUAUCAGCUAAAGUUCAUUAUACCUUUCUCUUCUUGCUAAAAGGUGGUAGAGGCAAGAUGUUCAGUUGGACUGAGUGAUGCUGUCCAUUUAAGUCUUGUCACUCAAUAUUGUUGAUGAUUAAGUAAAGCUAACUAAAGGCUGAAGUGCUUAUGAAGCUCUUGAAUGGAACAAGUGAAAGUUUUUGUUGCUACUGUAUGUCCUUCUAGAAUAAACAUUUAGGUGCACAGAUGCUGUAGUAAAGCAGAGAAGGGACAGGAAGAGAGGCAGACUGUCUCUUCGUCAUCUUGGGUGGUGACUUCUCAUAUCCUUCUUCACUCCUGUGUUAUAUUUAUUUUUUUGUGUGCAAAGCCCUUUGGUACAAAGCUUUGUCACCCCAUGUUGGUAAGCUUUACUUGGCUUCCUGCCACAGUAAAAGUAUGUAUUUUUCAGCUGAAAUCACAGUGAAUUUGGGUAAUUAUGUUAUCUUUUUGCAGACACUCUUUUCCAGAGGAAUUAGGGUUAUGUGCCUUGCUCAAGGGUACAUCUGACCAUUUUUUUUUAACCUAGUCUCCACAGAGAUUCAAACCAGCGACCUUCCGGUUACCGGUGCAACACUCUUAACUGCUAGGCUACCAGCAGGCCUACAGUGUUGUGUUUAGUGAGGUGAAAUGUUCAGAAUGUUUAUAGAUAGAAAUGUAAUGUAUAGAGCUGACACAAUUCCCCAUUCUACAUGCCAGACAAUCAUACAUGUUUAUGAUUGUUCUUUGAUGUUCAAUCAUCCUGAACAGGCCCUUGUUGGUGGUGUGACUAAAUCUCUGCUGAUCUGAGUCUGACUUCCUCUAGGGAUUUUCGUUUUUGGUGUACAGACAUCUAUUAACCAACAAUUAAAAGACAAAGAUUCUGAAUGAUAGUAUAAAGAAUUAAACUUUAUUCAGUAUUUCACUAUGGUUCCUUGAAAUUGUAACCUGUCAUAGGAUACUGUGCAUUUUUGUUAUGAAACAAUAUACAUCAAAUCAUUGCAUGUGUCAGUAAUAACAAAUGCAUUAACUAUAACAGAGCACAUAUGCCAGUUAUCAUUUAAUAACAAAACAUAAAGCAGGUAAGUAAAAUGAUAAAUGACAAGCUUAAAACUCAUAAGAUAUUGUUCAUACUCUAAAAAAAUGUAUAUAAUUUUGUAAUCACUUUAUUAUUUUUUUUAUGUACAACUGAUUUACUUAUGUGUAACUUCAUUAUAGGCCCCAUUAUUUACAAAGAGUUUCUUUAAUAGGCAAUAAUUCUAUAAAAUAAUUUGUUUUCUGAGUGUGGUCUAUUGGGAAAAGAUGAUGGUGAAACACGGCGGAUCUAACAACCUUUCCUCCAGUCCAAAUCUGCUGGAGGGGAAGUUGGGGUAGGCUAAAGGUCACAUUGAUAAUCCACUUAUUGAGUCAACGACAACUCAAGAGCAACAGGAUAGAGCAGUGUUUCCUAAACUCGGUCCUCGGGAUACCAAGGGGUGCACGUUUUGGUUUUUGCCCUAACGCUACACAGCUGAUUCACAUUAUCAUAGCUUGACGAUUAGCUGAUUAUUUGUAUCAGAUGUGUAGUGCUAGGGUAAAAAACAAAACAUGCACCAUUUGGGGUCCUUAGGACAUAGUUUGGGAGACCU
rnacentral:lncRNA from 1 species